rnacentral:lncRNA from 1 species
UGCAUACCCCACCCCUGCAGUCAGGAGUGGGCAGCAUCAUGUUGCUGUCCCUCACACUGUGUGCUCCCUGCCACCACACUCUGCUGUUCCAUGUGCCCAGUUCAUGGUGCCCUUUUUCAGGAGGAGGAUGACUAUGACGUGAUGCAGGACCCAGAGUUCCUUCAGAGCGUCCUAGAGAACCUUCCCGGUGUGGAUCCCAACAAUGAAGCCAUUCGAAAUGCAAUGGGCUCUCUGGCCUCCCAGGCCACCAAGGAUGGCAAGAAGGACAAGAAAGAGGAAGAGAAGAAGUGAGGCCGGAGGGAGGGGUAGCCGAGUCUGCCCUGGGGACUGUAAGGAUGGGGUUGGAUAAAGACUUAGAUGUGCUCUGCGGCCUUGACAACGGAAUAAAGCUUGGAGUUUUCCCUUUGC